rnacentral:tRNA from 1 species
CCUUCGAUAGCUCAGCUGGUAGAGCGGGGAACUGCAGAGGUAAUUUGCUGCUGGUUCGAUCCCAGUUCGAAGUA